AUACGUAGGUGGCAAGCGUUGUCCGGAAUUAUUGGGCGUAAAGCGCGCGCAGGCGGUCUUUUAAGUCUGAUGUGAAGGCCCACGGCUCAACCGUGGAGGGUCAUUGGAAACUGGGAGACUUGAGUGCAGAAGAGAAGAGUGGAAUUCCACGUGUAGCGGUGAAAUGCGUAGAGAUGUGGAGGAACACCAGUGGCGAAGGCGACUCUUUGGUCUGUAACUGACGCUGAGGCGCGAAAGCGUGGGGAGCGAACAGGAUUAGAUACCCUGGUAGUCCACGCCGUAAACGAUGAGUGCUAAGUGUUAGAGGGUUUCCGCCCUUUAGUGCUGCAGCAAACGCAUUAAGCACUCCGCCUGGGGAGUACGGCCGCAAGGCUGAA
rnacentral:rRNA from 1 species